rnacentral:rRNA from 1 species
UACAUAGGGGGCAAGCGUUAUCCGGAAUUAUUGGGUGUAAAGAGUGCGUAGACGGAGAAACAAGUUGGUUGUGAAAUCCCUCGGCUCAACCGAGGAACUGCAACCAAAACUAUUUCCCUUGAGUGUCGGAGAGGAAAGUGGAAUUCCUAGUGUAGCGGUGAAAUGCGUAGAUAUUAGGAGGAACACCAGUGGCGAAGGCGACUUUCUGGACGAUAACUGACGUUGAGGCACGAAAGUGUGGGGAGCAAACAGG